CUCCAUUUGCUGCCGGAUACAGUUAGGGGAGACAUUGUUUAUCAUUUGAUUGGAAAAAUUGAUGAGGUUUAUGUGUUUUGAGUUUUUCCUUAAUGAACUCACCUUGAGGGCAGGUAAAUACAAGGCCGUCAUAAAAAAACCCCUCGUGAAAGGCGGGGUGUUCAUCCAUUUCAAUAUUGGUUUCCUACAAUCUGGUGGUUUUUUCACUAGAGCAAUAAAACAUUUGGCAGUGAUGGAUUACUUGGCAUCAUGUCAACAUUGAGGAGGAAA